UUUAACUUUUAGGGGCUUUAAAAUAAGGCCUAUUGCUGAAGAUGUGCUACUUAAUUGGUAGCGCCCCAUGGUAGCCCACCAGCGAUUCCACGUGGAUUUUAAUCCCCUGCCCACCGUCUUCCCGAAACCCACCCUCAUGGUGCACAGAGUGAUUUUUUUACUCCCUGGCCAUCACUCCCCGAACCAAAUCAUCUCUCCCCAUCGGGGACGGAGGAGAGCCGAUCCGGAGAUGCCUCACGAGGGGGACGACGACCUGGGUUCUCCAUCGAGCUGGGAUGGCACCGGUGUUGGCGAGGUGAACCAGGCGGCAGCGGCAGAUCAGAGUCACGGCGAUAUUCGGGGCCGCCGACGCGGUUGAGGCUGCCCUGGCGCCGUCCGCUGCCUCUCUAUCGCUGAAUUCCAUCCCCGACGACGGAGUUCCCCUUACUUGAGCGAGAUCGACAGCUGAGUAUUUACGAUCCAUCCCAUCGACGGAUCUACGAGAGCAUUGCCAGAAUCCUCUUCUGCUCCUUGCGUGUCGGUGGUGGGUAGAGAGUGACAGCACCAGCGUUGUUUGAAGCAUGGAUGGUGGCGGCAUACUGGGAGGAGGUAGCGGAUUUGGAGGUCCGGCGGGUCGUUCUCCCUCCCCUGAAGCCAGCCACGCCUCCACCACUAGGCAGUGGAGGAUGUUAGCAAGAUGUCACUGUCAUCGUGCGUGGCAGGUCGGCGCCGCCAAGGAAUGCAGGAGGUCGUUGCAGUGGCAGUAGUCGAUUUUAAUAGAUUUCAGGAGCACAUUGUAACCCAGUGGAUUAGAGGAUGAUGAAGUGUGUCAUGUGGUGACCUGGGAAACAUUGUUGCUGAUGCCGGAGCCAUGCUUGAUCCUGGGCUGCCCAUCCCGACACUGUGGCUGCACAAUCCUGUUCUACGUUGCUUGGUUGGUUGAAUGGUUGGCGAGCCAGCUGCCUCCACUACAACCUUCGUCCGCCUCCCAGCUGCCCCCAUGAUGGAUCCUGCGAUGAAGAGGAGGAUCCACUUAUCUGAAUUUAUUUGAUGAUUUUUGUUGUGUUUAUACCCUUUGUUUUAUUUUUUUUUACUCCUGUGUGUUUAGCAUGUAAUUCGUUUAUUGUAUAGUAUGUGUCUGAAUGAUUUUUUUGAGUGUUUCUGCUCCUUUGUAAUUUUUUUACUCCUAUACGUUUAAGCAUUAUAAUCCGUUUAUUGUAUAGUAUGGGUCUGAAUGUAACAAAGUGUGUAAAAAAUUAUUGUUUGUAUAUGUAUGGGUAAAGAAAUUACUAUCAAUUCUGUCCUACUAAAACAAAGUAAAUAUUUGUUAGUAAAAAAGUUACUUAUA